UACAGAGGUCUCGAGCGUUGUUCGGAUUCAUUGGGCGUAAAGGGCGCGUAGGCGGCGGGGUAAGUCUGGUGUGAAAUCUCGGAGCUCAACUCCGAAAUUGCACUGGAUACUGCUCUGCUAGAGGGCUGGAGAGGAGAUCGGAAUUCACGGUGUAGCAGUGAAAUGCGUAGAUAUCGUGAGGAAGACCAGUGGCGAAGGCGGGUCUCUGGGCAGUAACUGACGCUGAGGAGCGAAAGCGUGGGGAGCGAACAGG
rnacentral:rRNA from 1 species